GGUGAACGCUGGCGGCGUGCCUAAGACAUGCAAGUCGAGCGGGGCAGGUUUAUACCUGUUCAGCGGCGGACGGGUGAGUAACGCGUGGGUGACCUACCCGGAAGAGGCGGACAACCUGGGGAAACCCAGGCUAAUCCGCCAUGUGGUCCUGUCCUGUGGGGCAGGACUAAAGGGUGGAUAGCCCGCUUCCGGAUGGGCCCGCGUCCCAGCAGCUAGUUGGUGGGGUAAAGGCCCACCAAGGCGACGACGGGUAGCCGGGCUGAGAGGAUGGGCGGCCACAGGGGCACUGAGACACGGGCCCCACUCCUACGGGGGGCAGCAGUUAGGAAUCGUCCGCAAUGGACGGAAGUCUGACGGAGCGACGCCGCGGGGAGGAGGAAGCCCUUCGGGGUGUAAACUCCUGAACUGGGGACGAAAGCCCUGUGUAGGGGGAUGACGGUACCCAGGUAAUAGCGCCGGCCAACUCCGUG
rnacentral:rRNA from 1 species